rnacentral:rRNA from 1 species
GUGCUCCCCCGCCAAUUCCUUCCCCGUAUAAAACUUGUAGGCGUCGCUGAGUUUGGGGUUCUUCACCCCCUGCUUCCCCUGUGUCUCCAUCUCGCGUGCCGCGAGCUUCAUGACGUCGAUUUCUUCUGGAGGCCAGGGAAAGGUUCGCUCAAGGCCGUAUUUGAGAAGCUGGAACCACAGGACAUCGCGGUCGAACUUGGUGUUGUAUCCGCCCCAUGCGCGACACCCCAAUGCGAACCGUGAAAGCGCAGGUCCAAUUUCGAAGAGGGUGGGCGCAUCGGCCACUGUCUCAGGACUAAUUCCAUGCGUCUUGAUGGCGUCAUCGCUCCACUUCACUGCUUCCGGGUUGACGUUGGUGUAGAAGCUGCUCUCUUCAUCGCCGACGUCGGCUUCUAAUUCGCAAUUCGGACAGAAAUCGUCCUUAUCGCGAAUUCGGAUCGCCCCGAUCUGUACGAUGCCCGGCUGGGCCAUGAAGUCGGUCGACGCGGUCGUGAGACCCGUCGUCUCGAAGUCGAUGAAGAGGAUCACUUCUUCACCCGCCGCGGCUUGCAGGUAUUGGAUUUCGGAUAGACGGUGCGCCCGUUACGCACACGCGGAUGGAUGCUCAUCUGGGGCGGAGAUACCUUACGCCCAUAGACGUAGAAGCUAUCAUUCAUCUGAAUUUGCCCGUGCAUUAGCCCGAUCAGAAAGUGAGCUAUAUUGCUCACAUCGUCAAGCGUAACGACUGUUACGCCUCAAACUAUUUUUCUGCUUCCGAGUUGAGGUGUGCCAUUGACAAUUUCAUUUCCUCGGCGUGUCUCGAUCAAAUCGUCGCGCAGAAGCAAUUCAAGACGCGCUAAUGCACCCCACGCUUCCUGUGCUGCAUGCGCGAGCCCGCUGUCGCCCUCGUCGUACGGUCCCUCGAUCGAUUGUGCUGCAAAGUGACGCGCCUUCGCGUCGGUGUAGCGUGCGAGUGCGUUCGGCACCUUCUCCCAGCCGUCGUACGAUCCGUAUUUCCGAAAACCGUAUUCGGAUACCCACGCGAUCGCGAGAAGUGCCCGUGGAAAGCGGCUCAAACAGCCCUGCCACAGCGGCGCUUUGCCCGCAUCAUUUUUGACGUUGGUCGGCGGUGGCGUAGCGGGAAUAUCAUUCUCUUCCAGCCAUGUGACCUCGCAACGAUCGCAACGUCCGACCUUGAAGUGGAUAGCCUGGUCGCAGUCGAUGCAGUGAUAAAACUUAGGUUGUCCAACCAUCUUCAUCCUCCAAAGUGAGUCAUGUAAGUCGGUGUGCGCGGCAGCAUGACGUGAACCUCCUGCAUCGCCCGCGUCAUCGCGACGUAUGCCAAGCGCGUUUCGGCUGGCGUGUUCACGUUGCGGCGCACCAAAUCAUUGCAGUCCGGCAGGAUCAACCGGAG